UCGGGAAUUUUGGGCAAUGGGCGAAAGCCUGACCCAGCAACGCCGCGUGAAGGAUGAAGUAUUUCGGUAUGUAAACUUCGUAAGAAUAGGAAGAAUAAAUGACGGUACUAUUUGUAAGGUCCGGCUAACUACGUGCCAGCAGCCGCGGUAAUACGUAGGGACCAAGCGUUGUUCGGAUUUACUGGGCGUAAAGGGCGCGUAGGCGGUGUGUCAAGUCAGUUGUGAAAUCUCCGAGCUUAACUUGGAACGGUCAACUGAUACUGUCACACUAGAGUACAGAAGGGGCAAUCGGAAUUCUUGGUGUAGCGGUGAAAUGCGUAGAUAUCAAGAGGAACACCUGAGGCGAAGGCGGGUUGCUGGGCUGAUACUGACGCUGAGGCGCGAAAGCUAGGGUAGCAAACGGGAUUAGAUACCCCCGUAGUCCCUGAGCGGGCUGGCAAGGCGCAU
rnacentral:rRNA from 1 species